rnacentral:rRNA from 1 species
AAGACCUUGCACUUUUGGAGCGGCCGAUGUCUGAUUAGCUAGUUGGUGGGGUAAUGGCCUACCAAAGCUUCGAUCAGUAGCUGGUCUGAGAGGACGGCCAGCCACACUGGGACUGAGACACGGCCCAGACUCCUACGGGAGGCAGCAGUGGGGAAUUUUGGACAAUGGGCGCAAGCCUGAUCCAGCCAUGCCGCGUGAGUGAAGAAGGCCUUCGGGUUGUAAAGCUCUUUCAGCCGGGAGGAAAAGGUUGCGACUAAUAAUCGCAAUCCAUGACGGUACCGAAAGAAGAAGCACCGGCUAACUACGUGCCAGCAGCCGCGGUAAUACGUAGGGUGCGAGCGUUAAUCGGAAUUACUAGGCGUAAAGGGUGCGCAGGCGGUUUUGUAAGUCAGAUGUAAAAUCCCCGGGCUUAACCUGGGAACU